rnacentral:rRNA from 1 species
AUGACUAUCAAUAAUAGAUAUCUUGGCUCUUGCGUUAAUAAAGAACAUAGCAAAAUAUGAUACUUCGUGUGAAUUGUAGAAUCCCAUGAACCAUCAAGUCUUUGAAUGCAAGUUGCACCCCAAGCCAUUAGGUUGAGGGUACACUUGCCUGGGUGUCAUGCACUGUUACCCCUUCCAAACCCUUCUCAUUAGGCUUUAGGUGAGGGGGUGGAACAUAGCCGCCUGUGAUCUCAUCAAUCGUGGUUGCCCUAAAAAUGAGUCCCUAGCAAUGAUAGCACUAUGAUCGUUGGUGGUAAACCUCUUGGCAUGCCUCUUCUCUAGUGACACACACUCAUUGUCCAUCUAGACCCCAUCAAACCCCUUGCAUCACUCAAUCAAUGCUUACAUCAUGGGCCUAGAUCAGGUGGGAUUACCAAUUGAGUUUAAGCAUAUCAAUAAGUGGAGGAAAAAAAAACUUACUAGGGUUCCCCUAGUAAUAGCGAGCAAACCAAGAAAAGCCCAACUUGAGAAUUGAGCACCCCUGACAUCCAAAUUAUAGUUUGGAAAAGCAUCCUCAAUGACGGACCGAGCCCAAGUACCCUAGAAAGGGGCACUGAAGAGGGUGAGAUCCCCAUUGUGUUUGGACCUUGUUACACCGUGAGGCACUAUUUGAGAGUCAAGUUGUUUGGGAAUGCAACCCUAAUCGGGCAGUAAAUUUUGUCUAAGGUUGAAUACGAGUGAAAGACUAAUAGUAAAAAAUUACCAUGAGGGAAUGAUGAAAAGGACUUUGAAAAGAGAGUCAAAGAGUGCUUGAAAUUGUUAAGAGGGAAAUGGAUGGGGGCUAAUGAUUUACUCCAUUCAGAUUGGAAUGACAAGAACUUGUCCAUCGAUCAACUCAGUUACAGUGCCCAACUACAUGCUAACCUAAAACUUGCAAAUGGUGUUAGUCAACCAAGAUAGCAGGACGAUGGUCAUGAAAGCCACUAAAGAGUGUGUAACAACUCACCUACCAAAUCAAUUAGCCUAAAAAAAUGCAUGGCGUUUAAAUGCAUGACCUAUACCUAGCCGUCGAGGCAAGGACCAGGCCUUAAUGAUUAGGACGGUGUGACGACCCAUCAAAACUAGAAAAGUGAGCUAGAGUAAAGUGCCUGUCAAUGCAAAUCUUGGUCGUAGUAACAAAAUUCAAGUGAGAGCUUUAAAGGCUGAAAAUGGGAAAAGUUCUAUGUGAAUGGCAGUUACAUAAGGUUAGUCAAUCCUAAGAGAUGGGGGAAGCCCAUUUUAGAGUACGUCCAACAUGAGCUUCAAAAAGGAAUCAGGUUAAAAUUUUUAAACUAGAAUACAGAGGCUGAUGGUAAUGUUAAGAAGUCCAAAGACAUCGAUAGAGGCAUUAGAAAGAGAUAUCUUUUCUAUUUAAUAGCUUGCCCACCCUAAAAAUGGCUCAGCCAAAGGUAGGGUCUAGUGGCCAAAAGAACACUACACAUCACAUGGUAUCUGGUGCACCCUUGAUAGCCCUUGAAAAUUUAGAGGACUGGUGCCAUCCGUGCUUGGUCAUACUCAUAACUACAAUGGUCUCGAAGGUGAAUAACAUAUGGUUGAUGGAAUAAUGUAGGCAAGGGAAGUUGGCAAAAUGGAUAUGUAACCUUAGGAAAAGGAUUGGCUUUGAGGGCUAGGCAUAGAGGUCCCAAUCUUGAACCCAUCGACUAUCGGUGCACUGCUCGGGCUACUCCAAUGACAAAAAUAGCUCAUCAUAUGCUAGCUGGGGAUGGACUAGGAAUGGCUCCUUAAGGGACCUUUAAUUAAAACAAAGGGGAAUGCAACUAUUUAAUUAAAACAAAGCUUUAUGAUGGGCCCUGUGGAUGCUUACGCAAUGUGAUUUCUGCCUAGUGCUUUGAAUGUCAAAGUUAAGAAAUUCAACCAAGCAUGAGUAAACAAUGAAAGUAACUAUGACUCUCUUAAGGUAGCAAAAUGCUUCAUCAUCUAAUUGGUGACGUGCAUGAAUAGAUUAACAAGAUUCCCACUAUCCUUGUCUACUAUCUAGAAAAACCGUAGCCAAGGUAACAAGCUUGGCAAAAUUAGUGACGAAAAAAGACCUUGUUGAGCAUGACUCUAGUCUGACUUUAUGAAUUGACUAGAGAGGUGUAGGAUAAGUGGGAGCCCUCAGGAAAAAUUGAAAUACCACUAUUUUUAAUGUUAUUUUACUUAUUUUGUGAAUCAAAGGUGGGCCACAACCCCUUUUUUUAGACCUAAAGCUAACCUUGGUUGGUCAAUCUUGGUAGAAGAUACUAUCAGGUGGGGAGUUUGGCUAGGAUAGCAUAUCUGUUAAAAGAUAACACAAGUGUCCUAAGAUAAGCUCAAUAAGAAUAGAAAUCUCAUGUGGAACAAAAGGGUAAAAGCUCUUUUGAUUUUAAUUUCAAGUACAAAUAUAAACCAUGAAAGCAUGGCCUAUUGAUCCUUUAGACCUUUGAAAUUUGAAGCUAGAGGUGUCAAAAAUUUACCAUAAGGAUAAAUGGCUUAUGGUAGCCAAGCGUUCAUAGCGAUAUUACUUUUUUAUCCUUCGAUGUCCACUCUUCCUAUCAUUAUGAAACAUUUCUCACUCACUAAUAGAGAAUGUGAGCAGGGUUUAGACCAUCAUGAGAUAAUUAGUUUUAGCUUAUUGAUGGUAGUGUCACAAUAGUAAUUCAACCUAGUAUAAAAAAAACCAUUAAUUAGCACAAUUGGUCAUCACACUUGGUUAGAAAGCUAGUACUACGAAGCUACCAUGUGCUAGAUUAUGACUAAAUGCCUCUAACUUAGAAUUCAGGCUAGAAGUGAUGCAUACACCCAUUGCCCAAUUACUUAUUGGUAAUAGGGGCUUAGAGCCCCUAAGGGCAUAAGUCAUAGGUGUAGCCCCUAAGGUGAGCAAGCCAUACGAGCCUUCUUGGAGCUCAAUUCCCACCGAGUGGUGAGUAGAAU